rnacentral:lncRNA from 1 species
CUCUUUCUUCAGAGUCACCAUUUGAUCCCAGGAUGAGGACACCAAUGGAAGGCAUCCUAAAUAAGGAGAAUCAAUUCAUUGCUGGUACUACAAUAGAAAUCUUAGUAUGAAGGCAAUGCUACUCCAAGAAUUCACGUCCUGAUUUUAUAAAGAGAUAUUUUUUUGCCUGUAAUUAUUUCCUCCUGUGAUACUAGUAA